AGCGGACGUGUUGUGGAGACCCGGUAUGUGAAAGCAAAUUAAGUGGAACUGGACAGUUGCUGCCAGCCAGGUCAGCUUGCGAAUCAGCCGCAUGAUGGUAAGUGGGAAGAGCGCCCCUUGUUAAUGAUAUCGCAAGCUGACUAGUUGUUGGAAUAGCAUUUUACUGCCUUGCCGGACCAGAGAUGACCCCAGGUGUGUGCGGCUGCCACGAUGGGGUAAAUU